CCACCUGUGGCCUAGUGGGCAAGGUUACAGUCUUGGGAACACGAGGUCGUAGGUUCAAGCCCAGCUAGGAACA
rnacentral:tRNA from 1 species